rnacentral:lncRNA from 10 species
CAAGGGGAUGGUACUAAACCGUUCAUGAAGGAUCUGCUCCCGUGAUCCAAUCUCCUCCUACCAGGCCCCACCUCCAACACUGGGCAUUAUUUCAACAUGAGAUUGGAAGGGGACAAACAUCCAAGCCAUAUCACCAGCUAACAGGAAGUUCUAUUUGGCUGCCUCCUUGACUUUAUUUUAGCACAGCUGUGAAGCAACUGUAGCAUGUUACACAGGGUAGGGAUUCUUAAAAAAUAUUUAGGCAAAGUGUGAAAACAUAAACUAUUGUAUAAUGAGUUAAAAAAUAAUUCAGAUAAUCAAUAUAUAUCGUUCAGUUAAGUAAAUCCUCUUUCCUUGAGGAAUGGCUCUCAAUUAAAGGGAGACAGGAAUCCAGGAGGAAGGAGAAAACAUUCUAUGUCCUUGUUUAGUUUAUGUACAUCCUGAUGAACUAAUGGCUGUACUUUGAAACGUAGAAGGCCCUGGAUAAAACAUUCUCUACGUUAAUGUAAUUUCACAUUUCCUAGGCUACAUCAGCUUAGGGCAGUGGUUUUCAAAUUUUCUCAGUUGCAAAACAGUUUCUUAGGCAAAAGCUUACAUGGAAGCUAUAAUAUAGAAAGUUGGAGGGCAUAUAGCUGCUCUGAUUAACAGAGAUGUCAGGGACAAAGAACCCUGCCUGAGUCUCCAGCCCCGCUCCAGCUGUGUGUGGCUCCCGCACAGGUUUUAGUGGCACUCCUUAGGGUUCCAAGGAGUAUAGUUUGAAAAACAAUUUUGGGGAUUUUAAAGGCACAAAGUAAUGGUUGCAAAAUGGCACUUUUUUUUCUGGCUUUACCCUGACCUCUUGAAAAAGUCCAAUGCCCCUAAGAUUCUUCUCAAAAUUUUCUGGAUAUUUCUGGAUGGAGUCAGCUAAAAUGUCACCUACUCUUGCCUAAUCAUCCUGUCUGGAGUUGCAUCCCUCAAUUAUGUUUUAAAUAUUGUUCUCAGGAAAAUAGGAAAAAAAUUAACAACAUGAGGGAAGUUGUAAGACAUGGGAAAUGAUAGAGUGCUUUACACCCAGGCCUGUGUAGACUGACUCCCCUGCUGAGAUGAAGAUGCCAACAGGACAACAGAGCAGCAGGUGCCCUGCCUCAGGUGGACAGCCUCCAAUCUUGGUGAUGACUAUACAUUGUGUCUUCUUCCACAUAUCCAUAUAAAUCUCAUACAUAUUCAUUUUUACUUUAAAAUUUUAUAUUUGUAUAUUGAAAUAUAUUUACUUAAGAAGAACAUACUAAGUGCCUAUGUGUGGCUUUGUAUUAUGUCAGCUUCACUAAACUGGAAGUAUGUUUUCCAGACUUCACUUUCCUGUAUGUUUCAGGGUAAGGGUUGUCCACAAGAGAAAUUUUCAUAAGAUUUGGGAAACAGAAAAGAAGCACAGCCAUUUUUGCAUGCUCUGAAAUUUGGUGCAUGGUGCCAGUCAUGACGGCAACCUGUGCAUGCUGUCACUGAUCUGCUUGGCCUACCUGGGUGGCCAGGUGGAUAGCACCUGGGUCUGCAGCUUCUCCAGUUCUUGCUGGAUUGUCUGCUCUGGACAUUCUGUUUCCUAGCUCUAUGUCAAUGGGGAUUAGCUUCUCUUGCAGGUUACCUGUGUUGUCGAGGUUGGAGGUAGUGAGAGACAGAUACUGGUUCCAGUCUAUCCUUGCUCUCUCCCACUUUGCAUCCAGCUGUUCUUCCCAACUAGUGUUCCAGCUUGCAUAUUGCAAUCUCAGGCCCCACAUCAGAUGCAGAGGAAAGAUCUAGCUACUUUAUUUUACAUUAGUCAUAGUAGUACUGCUUUUCUGGUUGAUCCCUGACUGAUAUAGCCUAUAUAUGUCAGACACUGUGCUGGGUUUGGAGAUAGCAAUGGUGAGCCAGUUCAGUAUUGACCUUUUUUAUAGAGCUUAAAGUCUAACUUAGGAUAUUAUUAUUAUAAUACAAAAGAAAUAACAUGUUAUUUUUAAUUUUCAAUCAAGCUGAGGUUAUUUAAUAAUGCUUUCAUUUUUAUAACCCUUUUUUACUUUUCAAAGAGCUUUCUUGUUAUUUGCUCACUGUCACAUCUUUGCAGCUGUGGAGAAGACUAAGCAGAGAUUUAAGAAUACUCCUAUCCCAAGGUUGCACAAUUUGUAAGUGGCAGGAAUGUAGUCUUCUGAUUCAUAUUCCAGUGCUUGUCUUAAUGUGAAAGUUAUGAAAAUAAAUCAAAUUUUGUACUUUCAUGGAGCAAAUGUUACUAUCAGAUCAGUUGUGUCUACAUUUCACCAAAAUAUUUACCAAUCCAGAAAAAAAAAUAAGCCAAUAUGAGAUACUUGGCACCACGUAGGAAA